GAUGAAAAACGUAGCGAAAUGCGAUACUUGGUGUGAAUUGCAGAAUCCCGUGAACCAUCGAGUCUUUGAACGCAAGUUGCGCCCGAAGCCAUUAGGCCGAGGGCACGCCUGCCUGGGCGUCACACGUCGUUGCCCCCCCAUCUACUCCUUCGGGAUUGCGGGGGGCGGAUGAUGGCCUCCCGUGCGCCUCGUCGCGCGGUUGGCAUAAAUGCCAAGUCCUCGGCGACGCACGCCACGACAAUCGGUGGUUGCGAAACCUCGGUUGCCCGUCGUGUGCGGUCGUCGCGCAUCGAGGGCUCGAAAAAAUUGCCGGGCUCCGGCUCGGCUUUCAACGCGACCCCAGGUCAGGCGGGGUUACCCGCUGAAUUUAAGCAUAUCAAUAAGCGGAGGA
rnacentral:misc_RNA from 1 species